rfam:Paramecium tetraurelia chromosome undetermined scaffold_99, whole genome shotgun sequence.
GUUGAUGUGGCCGAGUUGGUCUAAGGCGUUGGAUUUAGGCUCCAAUCCGCAAGGGCGCGAGUUCAAAUCUCGCUGUCAACA